rnacentral:rRNA from 1 species
AUUGAACGCUGGCGGCAGGCUUAACACAUGCAAGUCGAACGAGUGGCGGACGGGUGAGUAAUGCUUGGGAAUCUAGCUUCUGGAGGGGGAUAACUACGGGAAACUGUAGCUAAUACCGCGUACCAUAGGAUGAGCCCAAGUGGGAUUGGGUAGUUGGUGAGGUAAAGGCGCACCAAGCCGACGAUUUCUAGCUGGUCUGAGAGGAUGACCAGCCACACUGGGAAUGUGACACGGCCCAGACUCCUACGGGAGGCAGCGGUGGGGAUUAUUGCACAAUGGGCGCAAGCCUGAUGCAGCCAUGCCGCGUGUAUGAAGAAGACCUUCGGGUUGUAAAGUACUUUCAGUCGGGAGGCGUUACCGACAGAAGAAGCACCGGCUAACUCCGUGCCAGCCGCCGCGGUAAUAC